GUGGCCAGCAUCCGCGGUAACACCGGCAGCCCAAGUGAUGGCCGAUAUUAUUGGGCCUAAAGCGUCCGUAGCUGGCCGCACAAGUCCGUCGGGAAAUCCACUCGCUUAACGAGUGGGCGUCCGGCGGAAACUGUGCGGCUUGGGACCGGAAGAUCCAAGGGGUACGUCCGGGGUAGGAGUGAAAUCCCGUAAUCCUAGACGGACCACCGAUGGCGAAAGCACCUUGGAAGGACGGAUCCGACAGUGAGGGACGAAAGCUAGGGUCUCAAACCGGAUUAGAAACCCUUGUAGUCC
rnacentral:rRNA from 1 species